CUGGCUUCCACAAUUUUCCUCAAAUCUCCAUUUCUCAGUUGUCCUUAUGAUCAAGUGUUUCGGAGAAAAAAUGUGCAUGGAUAGGUCUGCUAGGAAAGGUACAUUUCUGCAGUCAGCACAGCUGAUAAAUUCUGCCUUCGCCUGAUUUGUGUCUCCUCAUUCCCAGAGGGCAUCUCUGGACAGCACCCCCACAAAGGGCAUUAGGGUUGGUUGCUGGGAGCCUGUCAUUGCAUUGAAAGUCACAGAGGGUCAAAUGUGACCCGUGCGUUGUGACAGCUGAGGGUAAUUGCUCAGAAAGCAUGUGUUUCCCUAGCUACAAGAAAUGGAGCAAAACAGUCGGCGCUGGCUGUAGACCUGGUGGUUGCCAGACAGUGGGAUUUUCCUCAUAGAAUCUUUGCAGUUGGAAGGAACCCUUAAAGGCCAUCUGGUCCCACUCCCCUGCAACACCCACAGCUCCUUCAGGUGCUCAGAGACCCUUCCGGCCUGGCCUUGAAUGUCUCCAAGGAUGGGGUUCUACACAUCUCUGGGCACCUCUUGCUGAGGAUCUGCUGGCAAUGAGGUGCCUAGCCGUGCAGCAAAGGUUCUUCCAUGUCAAGUCUGCUUGGAAAGACAAAUCCCAGGCUGUGCCCUACAUGGGACACUUGGUGUUUUCUGUAUGGUUCACCUGAAGUGCUCGGUGAGAAUGCCAGCACGUUUCUCUGUAGGUGAAUCGCCAUGGCUCAGCAUCCACCUGCACAUCUCUGCCUUUCCAGGUCUGUCUGAUUCGUUCCUACGGGGUUUCAAGGAGGCAGGGCAACUUGACAGCACCUUCCUCACCAUGCAGGUGGAAGGCUUCCGUCAGAAAGGGACACAUUUGCAUAGAGACAGAGCUAACAAAGGGCUGGGCAGGGUGUGGCCGAGCAGUUCUAUCGCCACCUGUCAUGCAGCUCUGCAGCACGGCGUUGGAUCAGCCUGCAGCCACGGCUCCGUAUGUGAGAAGAGGCUCAGCACUGUUGCUUUCUUCUGUGAAUUGCUCAUCAAUGCAGGAGGUAUAUUGUGCUUCGAGGCUGGGGAAAUGCUGUGCUGAAAACUGCAUUUGAACCUUGGGGACAGCAAAGAAAUCCAAUAUCUCCAUCUGUUUGAAAUGCUUGCAAUCGAAAAUACAAAAAGAAGGAGCCACAGG
rnacentral:lncRNA from 1 species